rnacentral:rRNA from 1 species
GACGAACGCUGGCGGCGUGCUUAACACAUGCAAGUCGAGCGGUAAGGCCCUUCGGGGUACACGAGCGGCGAACGGGUGAGUAACACGUGGGUGACCUGCCCUCCACUUCGGGAUAAGCCUGGGAAACUGGGUCUAAUACCGGAUAGGACUCCGGGGUGCAUGCUCUGGGGUGGAAAGUUUUUUCGGUGGGGGAUGGGCCCGCGGUCUAUCAGCUUGUUGGUGGGGUGAUGGCCUACCAAGGCGACGACGGAUAGCCGGCCUGAGAGGGUGAUCGGCCACACUGGGACUGAGACACGGCCCAGACUCCUACGGGAGGCAGCAGUGGGGAAUCUUGCGCAAUGGGCGGAAGCCUGACGCAGCAACGCCGCGUGGGGGAUGACGGCCUUCGGGUUGUAAACCUCUUUCGCGAUCGACGAAGGUCCAGCUUGUUGUUGGGCUGACGGUAGGUCGAGAAGAAGCACCGGCCAACUACGUGCCAGCCGCCGCAGUAAAC